rnacentral:rRNA from 1 species
GAUGAACGCUGGCGGCGUGCCUAAUACAUGCAAGUCGAGCGAACAGACGAGGAGCUUGCUCCUUUGACGUUAGCGGCGGACGGGUGAGUAACACGUGGAUAACCUACCUAUAAGACUGGGAUAACUUCGGGAAACCGGAGCUACUACCGGAUAAUAUAUUGAACCGCAUGGUUCAAUAGUGAAAGACGGUUUUGCUGUCACUUAUAGAUGGAUCCGCGCCGCAUUAGCUAGUUGGUAAGGUAACGGCUUACCAAGGCGACGAUGCGUAGCCGACCUGAGAGGGUGAUCGGCCACACUGGAACUGAGACACGGUCCAGACUCCUACGGGAGGCAGCAGUAGGGAAUCUUCCGCAAUGGGCGAAAGCCUGACGGAGCAACGCCGCGUGAGUGAUGAAGGUCUUCGGAUCGUAAAACUCUGUUAUUAGGGAAGAACAAAUGUGUAAGUAACUAUGCACGUCUUGACGGUACCUAAUCAGAAAGCCACGGCUAACUACGUG